AAAUUAAAAAUUAAUAAUUUUAAUUUUAAUAAAAGUAAUUUUUAUAUUGAAAUAAGGGGGUUAAAGUAUUUUAAUAGAAAAAAUUAGAAAUUUUAUAGUUAAUUAGUAUAGUAAUAGAAAUUUGAAAAAUUUGAAAAUAAAUUUAAUUUAAAGUAAAUUUAAUUUAUUGUAUCUUGUGUAUCAGAGUUUAUUAAUUAAUUUUUAAAAAUUUAAAUAUCUCGAAUUUAAAAGAGUUAAUUAAUUAAUAAAUUUAAUGUUGAAUAAUUAUUUUAAAUAAUUAAUUAGAAAUGAAAUGUUAAUCGUUUUUAAAUAUAUCUAGUUAUUUUAGAAAAAAAUUUAAUUUUAAAUUUAUAAGAUAUAUUUAUAUUAUUUAAAUAAUUUAAAUAAAAAUAAAUUUUAUAAUUUAAGGGAUAAUCUUUAAAUUAAAAUUUUAUAAUUAAUUUUUUUUUAUUAAAAUUUUUAAAAUUUAUAUUGUUUAAAAAUUAAAAUUUUUUAUAAAAAAUUUUAUAAUAAAUAAAAUUUAAAAAUAAAUCUAAUUUUAUAUAAAAAUAUGAUUUUUAAUUAAAAAUAAUUAGUAAUAAUGAUAAAAUUAGUAUAAUUAAUUAUUAAAAUAAAAUAAAUAAAUUAAAUUUAAAAUUAAAUUAAAGGAAUUCGGCAAAAUUUUAUAUUCACCUGUUUAACAAAAACAUGUCUUUUUGAUUUUAAUUUAAAGUCUAAUCUGCCCACUGAUUUAAAAUUAAAGGGCUGCAGUAAUUUGACUGUACAAAGGUAGCAUAAUCAUUAGUCUUUUAAUUGGAGACUUGUAUGAAAGAUUUGAUGAGAUAUAAACUGUCUCUUAUUUAUAUUUAAAAUUUAAUUUUUUAGUUAAAAAGCUAAAAUAAAUUUAAAAGACGAGAAGACCCUAUAGAGUUUAAUAAUUUAUAAUUUAAAAUAUUUAUAUAAAAUUUUUAAUGUUUAAUAAAAUAAAUUAUUUUAUUGGGGUGAUAAAAAAAUUUAAUAAACUUUUUUUUAAAAAAUAAUCAUAAAUAAGUGAAUAAAUGAUCCUAAAUAAAGAUUAUAAGAAAAAAUUACCUUAGGGAUAACAGCGUAAUAUUUUUUUUUAGUACAAAUAAAAAAAAAGUUUGCGACCUCGAUGUUGGAUUAAGAUAAAAUUUAAAUGCAAAAGUUUAAAAUUUUGAUCUGUUCGAUCAUUAAAAUCUUACAUGAUCUGAGUUCAAACCGGUGUAAGCCAGGUUGGUUUCUAUCUUUAAAAAAAUAAAAUAUUUUA
rnacentral:rRNA from 1 species